CGUUGCCGAAGUUUUCAAUUCUUCCCCAAAAUAAUCGAUUAUGCAGGCUAUAUAAUCGAUUAUAUGUGAGCAGAAUCUGCUUCCGAUUUUGUAACGGUAAAAGGAUAAUCGAUUAUGCAAAUCCAAUAAUCGAUUAUCCUUGCAUAAAAUCAGCAUAAUUGAUUGUCAAUUAAGCAACAGACUUGCACCCUCUAACCCCUAUAAAAAGAGGUCUUUU
rnacentral:lncRNA from 1 species